AUGUGGACUAUCCUGUUGCACCAGCUAAAUGCCGGCUGGCGAAAACAUGGUCGAGCCCCCCUUUGCCGAGCUUCCUCUCGACCGUGUACUCAGGAGAUCUUCCUAUCUGGUCCUGAUAAGAUGAAGGCAGUUACCAUCAAUUUUUGGCUCUCAUUCGAUACAAGAUUGACAGUUUGCCGUAUGUGUUUCACUUCAGCUUGGACAGAUUCUGUUGUCGUACCAGCAGCCUGCACUGCUGCUGAAUAUGCAAACUCUUUCCGUACAGUAUUUACUUCAACCACAUGCUUCAGAUUUCCGUAG
rnacentral:rRNA from 1 species